rnacentral:rRNA from 1 species
GUGGAUUAGGCAUGCAAGUCGAGCGAGAAGUUUACUUCGGUAAAUGGACAGCGGCGAAAGGGACAGUAAUGUGUAGGUACCUACCCCCAGAUCUGGGAUAGCUGCGGGAAACUGCAGGUAAUACCGGAUAAUGUCUUCGGACCAAAGGUGUGAUUCCGUCAGGGGAGGGGCCUGCAUCCUAUUAGCUUGUUGGUGAGGUAAUGGCUCACCAAGGCAACGAUGGGUAGCGGGUGUGAGAGCAUGACCCGCGUCAUUGGGACUGAGACACUGCCCAGACAUCUACGGAUGGCUGCAGUCGAGAAUCUUCGGCAAUGGGCGAAAGCCUGACCGAGCGACGCCGCGUGCGGGAUGAAGGCCCUCGGGUUGUAAACCGCUGUCGUUGGGGAGGAAAUGCAAAAGGGUUAUCCCUUCUGUUU